UCUAAAGUGGCAGAAUAUUGCACUAGACUUAAACCCUAAUAAUGAGAUUACUCCUUAGAU
rnacentral:tRNA from 1 species